rnacentral:lncRNA from 1 species
AAAGCAUCAUGAACCUAUUCCCCAAAGACUCCCGAAAGACUCGACCAGCUCUGAUACCACUAAUGUAACACCCCCUUUUCAGAGACUGAAAAGAAGAGCGUCACAAUUCUCUACCCAAAUUUAAAUGCUUAAAUACAACCAAAUAAAAUUAUGCUGGUUUAUUUUUGGUAAAGGAAAAGUAAUAAGUGAGAAAUGUUCUCGAAUAUAAGUACUAUUAUUUUUAUUUAAGAAAGUUUUCAAAAUUCUCUUUAUAAAAAUUUAAAGUAAGCCCAUAAAUAAUAUGCAUCACUUAUAUCAAACAAUCAUCCGGUAAUUUUGCUCAAAGGAUUUUCAAAUCUAAAACAUUUCCAUUUCACAUAAGUGUCUUACAAUUUUUCAAUAUGAAAUAAUAAAAGAUAAAUUCCUACAAAAGACUCUAACCCACAAACGAUCAUGAGCUGGUCAAACACUAAAGAUGCAUGUCAUCUAGAGAGUACCCCAAUGACGUCAUCAAUACAUAUCAAAGAGAUCUUUCUCUUCGGAAUCCAAAAAUAAAACUAGACCACCAAUCAGAUACCUAACGUUCUUUAUUUUAAUGUCUCUCACAAUGCCAUUUUCCUUUCCUCAAUGAACUUCAACCGGAGGUCUUAGUAUCCUGCACUAACUGUUGUAAGGGGUGAAUCACUCGUACACAAGUUACCAUCGUGAUGAUGUCACAAGGCUACACAUAAUAUUAUACAAGUAUAUACAUUUAUUUAACUAGUAUAUAUACAUACCUGAGUAUCUAAUUAUGUAUUUACAUCAAAUAGAAUCAAGUAGUCAAAUAGUCACGUAUAGUCAAAUAGUCACAAAGUGAAUUAAACAAACAUUAUAUCAUCAUCACUAAUCAACAAUUAGUCAGACAAGGAAAAUCAAAUAUAUN